ACCCAAAGUUGAGGAGAUGGAGCUGAGACACUGCACCUGAGAAGCAUCACCCACACCUGGACCUGAUUAGGAUUAGGAGAGCCUGGUCUUUGAGGCGAUACUGUAAAGGGAGGAGGCUUUUGAGGGACCUAGGAAGUGCUGGUGCAUUCUGUGCGGACAACUCAUAUAAGAGAAACCAGACAGCCUACCCUGGAACACUCCAGCCACACCUAAUGCUCUAAAAGCAGUCGUUUCCCUUUGCCUGAUAAACAUUUCUUAAAAAUUAAUCCUUUCCUGGGUUCUAAGAGCACUCUGCAGCUGCUGGACAGUGAGUGAAGUGACACUGGGAUCAGGUCUCAGAUGACUGCUACUGGAAGCAUUCACACCAGCUCAUAGGUUUGUAAAGAAAUUACAUUAAUAAGUCACAGAGACAGUAAAAAUGAAAAGAGUCCUUCUGACCCCCAAUUUUUUAGGGACAGGAAGCCGAUGGAGACAGUUAGGAACAUGGGCCAUUUCCUUUGGAGAAGGAAGGGUAAUUCAAAGGGAAGAACUGAGAUCCCAGAGGGCAGAGCUAAGAGCCAUAGAGAAUCAUUCCCAAGUUUCAGGAGUGACUAUGUGUAAAACGCUGGGCUUCAGAAUUGUCAUGGACCAGUGACUGUUAUGUGCCUUACAUUCUCUUCUUUUGAAUGAAGGUAUUUAUUACAGUUAUUCUCUUUCCUACUAUUUAUGUUAGGUGUGUGGAGAGCAGAUACUCGUCUUUUUAGUUCAUUAGACCCAAGUAACCACACCGGAGAAGCCUCAUUCACCCGACAACCUGACUUAAAUCACAAAAUCCUGGAUUUUAAUAUGACACUGUAGUGGGAUGGGAUUGAGGACUAGAAUAGACUUUUCUCCAAAGAAGACAUGGAAAUGGCCAACAAGCAUAUGAAAACAUGCUCAACAUCACUGAUCAUUUGGGAAAUGCAAAUCAAAAGCUCAAAGAUAUCACCUGACACCUAUUAGGAUGACUAUUAUUAAAAAACUAAAAGAUAACAAGUGUUGGUGAGGAUGUGGAGAAAGAGAACUCUGAUACAUUGUUGAUGGGAAUGUAAACUGGUGCGGCUCCUAUGGAAAACAGCAUGGAGGUUACUCAAUAAAUUAAAAGUAGAACUACCAUAUGGUCCAGAAUCCCACUUCUGGGUAUCUAUCCAAAUGAAAUGAAAUCACUAUCUCCUAGAGUUAAUUUGCACCCCCGCAUUCAUUGCAGCAUUAUUUACAAUAGCCAAGGUAAGGAAACAGCCUAAGCGUCCACCGAUAGGUAAAUGGACAAAGAAAAUGUAGUAUAUACAUACAGUAGCAUAUUAUUUAGCCUUAAAAAAGAAGUAAAUCCUGUCAUUUGUGACAACAUG
rnacentral:lncRNA from 1 species